rnacentral:rRNA from 1 species
CUAGCUUGCUAGAUUGAUGGCGAGUGGCGAACGGGUGAGUAAUACAUCGGAACGUGCCCUGUAGUGGGGGAUAACUAGUCGAAAGAUUAGCUAAUACCGCAUACGACCUGAGGGUGAAAGUGGGGGACCGCAAGGCCUCAUGCUAUAGGAGCGGCCGAUGUCUGAUUAGCUAGUUGGUGAGGUAAAGGCUCACCAAGGCGACGAUCAGUAGCUGGUCUGAGAGGACGAUCAGCCACACUGGGACUGAGACACGGCCCAGACUCCUACGGGAGGCAGCAGUGGGGAAUUUUGGACAAUGGGCGAAAGCCUGAUCCAGCAAUGCCGCGUGUGUGAAGAAGGCCUUCGGGUUGUAAAGCACUUUUGUCCGGAAAGAAAUGGCUCUGGUUAAUACCUGGGGUCGAUGACGGUACCGGAAGAAUAAGGACCGGCUAACUACGUGCCAGCAGCCGCGGUAAUACGUAGGGUCCAAGCGUUAAUCGGAAUUACUGGGCGUAAAGCGUGCGCAGGCGGUUGUGCAAGACCGAUGUGAAAUCCCCGAGCUUAACUUGGGAAUUGCAUUGGUGACUGCACGGCUAGAGUGUGUCAGAGGGGGGUAGAAUUCCACGUGUAGCAGUGAAAUGCGUAGAGAUGUGGAGGAAUACCGAUGGCGAAGGCAGCCCCCUGGGAUAACACUGACGCUCAUGCACGAAAGCGUGGGGAGCAAACAGGAUUAGAUACCCUGGUAGUCCACGCCCUGAACGAUGUCAACUAGUUGUUGGGGAUUCAUUUCCUUAGUAACGUAGCUAACGCGUGAAGUUGACCGCCUGGGGAGUACGGUCGCAAGAUUAAAACUCAAAGGAAUUGACGGAGACCCGCACAAGCGGUGGAUGAUGUGGAUUAAUUCGAUGCAACGCGAAAAACCUUACCUACCCUUGACAUGCCACUAACGAAGCAGAGAUGCAUUAGGUGCUCGAAAGAGAAAGUGGACACAGGUGCUGCAUGGCUGUCGUCAGCUCGUGUCGUGAGAUGUUGGGUUAAGUCCCGCAACGAGCGCAACCCUUGUCUCUAGUUGCUACGAAAGGGCACUCUAGAGAGACUGCCGGUGACAAACCGGAGGAAGGUGGGGAUGACGUCAAGUCCUCAUGGCCCUUAUGGGUAGGGCUUCACACGUCAUACAAUGGUGCAUACAGAGGGUUGCCAAGCCGCGAGGUGGAGCUAAUCCCAGAAAAUGCAUCGUAGUCCGGAUCGUAGUCUGCAACUCG